rnacentral:rRNA from 1 species
AUUGAAAGAUGGCGGCAGGCCUAACAAAUGAAAGUCGAACGAGUGGCGGACGGGUGAGGAAUGUCUGGGAAACUGCCUGAUGGAGGGGGAUAACUAAUGGAAACGGUAGGUAAUAACGAAUACCAUCGGAUGUGCCCAGAUGGGAUUAGCUAGUAGGUGGGGUAAAGGCUAACCUAGGCGACGAUCCCUAGCUGGUCUGAGAGGAUGACCAGCCACACUGGAACGGAGACACGGUCCAGACUCCUACGUGAGGCAGCAGUGGGGAAUAUUGCACAAUGGGCGCAAGCCUGAUGCAGCCAUGCCGCGUGUAUGAAGAAGGCCUUCGGGUUGUAAAGUACUUUCAGCGGGGAGGCGUUACCCGCAGAAGAAGCACCGGCUAACUCCGUGCCAGCAGCCGCGGUAAUUC